CGCUUCGGCGUGUGACUGCGUACCUUUUGUAUAAUGGGUCAGCGACUUAUAUUCUGUAGCAAGGUUAACCGAAUAGGGGAGCCGAAGGGAAACCGAGUCUUAACUGGGCGUUAAGUUGCAGGGUAUAGACCCGAAACCCGGUGAUCUAGCCAUGGGCAGGUUGAAGGUUGGGUAACACUAACUGGAGGACCGAACCGACUAAUGUUGAAAAAUUAGCGGAUGACUUGUGGCUGGGGGUGAAAGGCCAAUCAAACCGGGAGAUAGCUGGUUCUCCCCGAAAGCUAUUUAGGUAGCGCCUCGUGAAUUCAUCUCCGGGGGUAGAGCACUGUUUCGGCAAGGGGGUCAUCCCGACUUACCAACCCGAUGCAAACUGCGAAUACCGGAGAAUGUUAUCACGGGAGACACACGGCGGGUGCUAACGUCCGUCGUGAAGAGGGAAACAACCCAGACCGCCAGCUAAGGUCCCAAAGUCAUGGUUAAGUGGGAAACGAUGUGGGAAGGCCCAGACAGCCAGGAUGUUGGCUUAGAAGCAGCCAUCAUUUAAAGAAAGCGUAAUAGCUCACUGGUCGAGUCGGCCUGCGCGGAAGAUGUAACGGGGCUAAACCAUGCACCGAAGCUGCGGCAGCGACACUAUGUGUUGUUGGGUAGGGGAGCGUUCUGUAAGCCUGUGAAGGUGUACUGUGAGGUAUGCUGGAGGUAUCAGAAGUGCGAAUGCUGACAUAAGUAACGAUAAAGCGGGUGAAAAGCCCGCUCGCCGGAAGACCAAGGGUUCCUGUCCAACGUUAAUCGGGGCAGGGUGAGUCGACCCCUAAGGCGAGGCCGAAAGGCGUAGUCGAUGGGAAACAGGUUAAUAUUCCUGUACUUGGUGUUACUGCGAAGGGGGGACGGAGAAGGCUAUGUUGGCCGGGCGACGGUUGUCCCGGUUUAAGCGUGUAGGCUGGUUUUCCAGGCAAAUCCGGAAAAUCAAGGCUGAGGCGUGAUGACGAGGCACUACGGUGCUGAAGCAACAAAUGCCCUGCUUCCAGGAAAAGCCUCUAAGCAUCAGGUAACAUCAAAUCGUACCCCAAACCGACACAGGUGGUCAGGUAGAGAAUACCAAGGCGCUUGAGAGAACUCGGGUGAAGGAACUAGGCAAAAUGGUGCCGUAACUUCGGGAGAAGGCACGCUGAUAUGUAGGUGAAGCGACUUGCUCGUGGAGCUGAAAUCAGUCGAAGAUACCAGCUGGCUGCAACUGUUUAUUAAAAACACAGCACUGUGCAAACACGAAAGUGGACGUAUACGGUGUGACGCCUGCCCGGUGCCGGAA
rnacentral:rRNA from 1 species